GGAUUGAACAGGAAUGGGAUUGUUCUUUUGUUGGUUGAAUUCUAUCCACAAGUUUGGUUGGUGUGAAAUCAUUUGAAAAUGUUAGGAGAAAAAAAAAAAAAAAAAAAAAAAAAAAUUUUUUUUUUUUUUUUUUUUUUUUAAAAAAAAAAAAAAAAAAAAAAAUUUCCUGAUGUCGUGCAUGGUCCUUUGUGCUUUAUGUGUGGCUUGGGGUUUGGGACGGAAUCAAACUAACACCGUCAAUUGUUAUUGGCCACUGCAAAGGGGAAACUUGUCGCUCAGUGUCAAAGUGGUUUUCU
rnacentral:misc_RNA from 1 species